GAGCUAUUAGCUCAGUUGGUUUAGAGCGCUAGCUUGACAGGCUAGAGGUCGCUGGUUCGAAUCCAGCAUGGCUCA
rnacentral:tRNA from 1 species